rnacentral:rRNA from 1 species
UACGGGGGGGGCAAGCGUUGUUCGGAAUUACUGGGCGUAAAGGGCUCGUAGGCGGCCAACUAAGUCAGACGUGAAAUCCCUCGGCUUAACCGGGGAACUGCAUCUGAUACUGGAUGGCUUGAGUUCGGGAGAGGGAUGCGGAAUUCCAGGUGUAGCGGUGAAAUGCGCAGAUAUCAGGAGGAACACCGGUGGCGAAGGCGGGUCUCUGGGCAACAACUGACGCUGAGGAGCGAAAGCGUGGGGAGCGAACAGG